GGCUCCGUGGCUUAAUGGUUACGGCUUCUGCCUCACAAGCAGAAGGUUCAGGGAUCAAAUCCCAUCCGGUACCU
rfam:Culex pipiens quinquefasciatus supercont3.663 genomic scaffold, whole genome shotgun sequence.